rnacentral:lncRNA from 1 species
GUUCCCUCAAAAUAAGUCAGUGACGGUAGCUACCAUUUAUGGACCUCCAAGCCGGCAUGUAAUGAGCAGUAUGACAGUCAUAAAUAGCUCAUAAUCCUCACACUAAUUCUAUAAGGCUGGUAGUUCAGGUUUGAAAAGUAAUAGCAUUCCUUUUUUCCUUUUCUUGGUGUUGAACAAUUGAGAAAUAAGAUGCAAACCAGGCAAUGAAAAUUAAAAUUACAAUGACGCUCAGAUUCAACCUCAAGCAAAUACUGAAGAUUCAGAUCAAACUGGAGCUCAGUGGUAAAGGGAACAAAUUUAAAUGGUGUCCCUAGCUGAUAACACAAAGCAGGAGAGCACAGCAUCACACCUGCAAUCUUCCCAUAUGUGACUAGGAUCUAGUUAUGAGGAAACCACAGAUAAACCGAAAUGAGGAACACUCUACAAAAUCACUGGCCUGUGAUUUUUGAAAGCACCAAGACCAUGAAAGUCAAGGAAAGACUGAGGAGCUGUUCCAGAUUAAAUAAGACUACCUGAGCUGUGUCCCAUAGCAUUGACAUAGCAACGUCAAUGUCCUUAUUUUGAUGCCUGUGUGGUGGGUAUGCAGGAGAACAUCCUUGUGUGUGGAAAAUGCACACAACUCUGCAGGGGC